UGCGGGAGCCCCGGGCCCUGCGGGGGCAGCGCCGCGGUCCCGCAGCCCCGGCCGUGCCGGCAUCGCCUCCCGCCGGGGCUCUGUGGCAGCCGGCACAGCUCUCCCAGCGACCCCGCAGCACCUGCGGCACCCACGGGGCACAAAGGGCCCGGCCGGCACAGCCAGAGCUGCCCCUGCACAGAACUCCUGGGGCCACUCCACUCCCGUUCCAUCUUGAGCAACCUCCCAACAGACCAGGUUGCUCAGGAUCCCGUCCAGCCUGAUGCUGAAUGUUCCCAGGGACAGGGCAUCCACAGUUUGUGCCAAGGUCCUGCUGAAUACUCUGUCCCCACCUUUCUUUUGGGCCCCUCCAAGUCCUGCUCAGCUGCUGUGAGGCCUCCCAGGCUCCCUCAUCUCAUCAUUGCUGCUGCUCCUUUCCCAGAAGCCGCCUUCCUCCAAGAGUCCUUAUGGCUUUUCUCUCCCAGGCUGGUAUCACCCUUACAUCUCCACAGCAGCUCCUCUCCAUGUUUCUAUAACCAUGCAAUAACACAGCCCAUCUCCACCAGGCUGCUGGGUGUUAAAUACAGAGCUGCCUCCAUAAAUAAAUUCCAAAGUACUCCCUCA